rnacentral:rRNA from 1 species
GCGCGGAAGGGUCUGGGCGCGAGCCCGCCUGGAGCCGCCGCCGGUGCAGAUCUUGGUGGUAGUAGCAAAUACUCCAGCGAGGCCCUGGAGGACUGAUGUGGAGAAGGGUUUCUUGUGAACAGCUGUUGCACAAGAGUCAGUCGAUCCUAAGCCCUAGGAGAAAUCCGAAACGAUGGUUUGCCGUUAAGACUCCACGUACCCGUUGGGCGGUCGUUAGUGACGCGGCCGUUCCGGCGUGGUAAUAACGAGCUGGCAACAUUUGGGCGAAAGGGAAUCCGGUUCCUAUUCCGGAACCCGGCCGCGGAACCGCUCCAAUUCGGGCCCUCAUACGAGGACUCGUCGGGGUGACCCGAAAUGACCCGGAGAAGCCGUAGGGAGGUCCGGGGAGAGUUGUCUCUUCUCUAUAAGCGUUCGAGUUCCCUGGAAUCCUCUAGGAGGGAGAUAGGGUUUGGAACGCGAAGAGCACCGCACUUACGGCGGUGUCCGGAUCUUCCCCUCGGACCUUGAAAAUCCGGGCGAGGGCCACGAGGAACACCGCGCCGGCUCGUACCCAUAUCCGCAGCAGGUCUCCAAGGUGAAUAGCCUCUAGUCGAUAGAA